rnacentral:sRNA from 1 species
AUUUCCUCUUUUACCAAGGACCCGCCAACAUGGUAGGUGUUUUGGCUCGAGGCCGCCAUCCUCCACAAUCGUCCCCCAUCUGCAGCUUCCCGCGGUCCUCAGCCCACAAAGAGAGGCCCUGGGCCGGGAAGGCGCAGAGCCCUGUCCAGCUGGAGCGCAACGGGCAGGCGGCUUCUGCAUUGAGCCCGGCGCCCGGCACUGUCCAGCCGGGCCUUCUCCGGCUCAGCGCAGCCGGCGGUCCCCAACCACACCCGCCGGGGCUUGGCGCCGCACUCUUCCCAGAAGGUUGCGCUGGCUCGUGAGUGAUCCUGUCCUCUCCACCCGCAGGGCCGCGUUCGCACCAAAACCGUGAAGAAGGCGGCCCGGGUCAUCAUAGAAAAGUACUACACGCGCCUGGGCAACGACUUCCACACGAACAAGCGCGUGUGCGAGGAGAUCGCCAUUAUCCCCAGCAAAAAGCUCCGCAACAAGAUAGCAGGCUAUGUCACGCAUCUGAUGAAGCGGAUUCAGAGAGGCCCAGUAAGAGGUAUCUCCAUCAAGCUGCAGGAGGAGGAGAGAGAAAGGAGAGACAAUUAUGUUCCUGAGGUCUCAGCCUUGGAUCAGGAGAUAAUUGAAGUAGAUCCUGACACUAAGGAAAUGCUGAAGCUUUUGGACUUCGGCAGUCUGUCCAACCUUCAGGUCACUCAGCCUACAGUUGGGAUGAAUUUCAAAACGCCUCGGGGACCUGUUUGAAUUUUUUCUGUAGUGCUGUAUUAUUUUCAAUAAAUCUGGGACAGCA